GUAAGGGAAAAUAAUGAUAUUACCUUACUAAUAGUGUCGUCAAAAACUGGUAACAGAAAACAAGGAAAGGACAGAAACAAAAACGUCAACAAAAACAAGCACCAGAAAACGCGGUAAAGCCAGAGACGAAAACCUUAAACAUAUAAAACAGAAGGAAAGGAGCCGGAGAAAACUAGGAAAAACUAAAACUCAAAGAACAUAGAGGUUAUAUUAUAUAAUACUUAGAGGAGGGAUUAAAUCCUUAGAUACUAAGGGGAAUACUUAGGGCGAAAGCAUUUUACCACUAAAGAUUGACGCUGAGAAACGAAGGAUAGGAUAGGAAAUAGGAUUAGAUACCCCGGUACCCCUCUCUGUCAACGAUGAAUGGUAG
rnacentral:rRNA from 1 species